rnacentral:rRNA from 1 species
GAUGAACGCUGGCGGCGUGCCUAAUACAUGCAAGUCGAGCGAACAGACGAGGAGCUUGCUCCUCUGACGUUAGCGGCGGACGGGUGAGUAACACGUGGAUAACCUACCUAUAAGUCUGGGAUAACUUCGGGAAACCGGAGCUAAUACCGGAUAAUAUAUUGAACCGCAUGGUUCAAUAGUGAAAGACGGUUUUGCUGUCACUUAUAGAUGGAUCCGCGCCGCAUUAGCUAGUUGGUAAGGUAACGGCUUACCAAGGCAACGAUGCGUAGCCGACCUGAGAGGGUGAUCGGCCACACUGGAACUGAGACACGGUCCAGACUCCUACGGGAGGCAGCAGUAGGGAAUAUGCCGCAAUGGGCGAAAGCCUGACGGAGCAACGCCGCGUGAGUGAUGAAGGUCUUCGGAUCGUAAAACUCUGUUAUUAGGGAAGAACAAAUGUGUAAGUAACUAUGCACGUCUUGACGGUACCUAAUCAGAAAGCCACGGCUAACUACGUG